GUCUGUGACCAUACCACCCUGAUCGUGCCUGAUCUUGUCUGAUCUUGGAAACUAAGCAGGGUCAAACCUGGAUAGUACUUGGAUGGGAGACAAACUGUCAAAUUAAACUCUGUGAUACUUUCU
rfam:Mesocricetus auratus contig048280, whole genome shotgun sequence.